AUUUAUAAUUUACAUUUAAUUUACAUUCGUUUUAUUUUACAAUUUUACAUAGUACUGCUUACGUAGAGUGCUUGAUUACUUGUAUUUCGUUGCUGCUCCAAGGUUGUGACAAAUUCAGCUACACUGUAUUUGUACAUAAAAGUGUCCUUGUUUUAAACUUUCGAGGCGAACGACUAUUAUUAAAAGAUCCUUAGAAGGAAUUUUUCAUCUGAUAUACGUGCUAGCAUAAAAAGUGAGAAGCUAAGUAAUAAGUACUUACUGAAAAUAUUUAAUAACAAUUAUCAAGUUUGUCGUGGAUCGAUAAUAUCUUAAAAGAAAAAGCGGGAAUGAUUGAUUUCAUCCAAUUCUCGAAUAAAUAUUUAUUAAAUACUAUACCGUAUCUAUACGAACGAAGAAGCAACAAUAAGUGCUGUACAGUGUUAUCUGCCUUUACCUUUCCAAUUAUUUCAUCAUUUUUAACCAUUUGAUACGGUAUUGAACUCCGAAAGAGUACGACACGUUGCGAAGUUCGUAGACAGAUAAAAAGAUCUGUAUUAUACGGUUUUCAAAGGACCACCGUUUAGGCUGUGGGGCAUUGUAAGGUUUCCAGAUGGUAAGAGAAGAAAAACGGCAACGGCAGGUGAUCGACGAAAACGUUACCGUCUUCUGAAUGCCAUCCAGGUGCCCUUUUUUUAUGUAUGAUGCUCCAACACAUGCUUGCAGUAUGUAGCUUGUGAUUGUGAUCACGAUUUACAUUUGCUUGCAAUUACCAGACAUUCUGUAUGUGUGUGUGUAGUUCCAGAAUAUUUUCAAAUAUUGUUCUUAUUUAAUCAAUUGAACUUCUAUGGUGAGGUUAUUAUAUAAAAACAGUUACAGAACUGUAUAUAGAGUAAUAGAUUUUUCAUUUUUGAAAAAAUAGAAGAUACGGUCGAUGUUCGAUAAACUUUUAAAUAUUGGAUAAUGUUUCAAAAAACAGUUUGAGUAAAGGAUUUUCCUGAAUCUAUGUAUAUAUAGGAUAUAUUUUAGUAUGUAUUUAAUAAAUAACAUUGCAGGGAAUA